rnacentral:rRNA from 1 species
UUAAGUUAGAAAGGGCGCACGGUGGAUGCCUUGACACUAGGAGUCGAUGAAGGACGGGACUAACGCCGAUAUGCUUCGGGGAGCUGUAAGUAAGCUUUGAUCCGAAGAUUUCCGAAUGGGGAAACCCACCAUACGUAAUGGUAUGGUAUCCUUAUCUGAAUACAUAGGGUAAGGAAGACAGACCCAGGGAACUGAAACAUCUAAGUACCUGGAGGAAGAGAAAGCAAAUGCGAUUUCCUGAGUAGCGGCGAGCGAAACGGAACAUAGCCCAAACCAAGAGGCUUGCCUCUUGGGGUUGUAGGACAUUCUAUACGGAGUUACAAAGGAACGAGGUAGACGAAGCGACCUGGAAAGGUCCGUCGUAGAGGGUAACAACCCCGUAGUCGAAACUUCGUUCUCUCUUGAAUGUAUCCUGAGUACGGCGGAACACGUGAAAUUCCGUCGGAAUCUGGGAGGACCAUCUCCCAAGGCUAAAUACUCCCUAGUGAUCGAUAGUGAACCAGUACCGUGAGGGAAAGGUGAAAAGCACCCCGGAAGGGGAGUGAAAGAGAUCCUGAAACCGUGUGCCUACAAAUAGUCAGAGCCCGUUAACGGGUGAUGGCGUGCCUUUUGUAGAAUGAACCGGCGAGUUACGAUCCCGUGCGAGGUUAAGCUGAAGAGGCGGAGCCGCAGCGAAAGCGAGUCUGAAUAGGGCGUUUAGUACGUGGUCGUAGACCCGAAACCAGGUGAUCUACCCAUGUCCAGGGUGAAGUUCAGGUAACACUGAAUGGAGGCCCGAACCCACGCACGUUGAAAAGUGCGGGGAUGAGGUGUGGGUAGCGGAGAAAUUCCAAUCGAACCUGGAGAUAGCUGGUUCUCCCCGAAAUAGCUUUAGGGCUAGCCUUAAGUGUAAGAGUCUUGGAGGUAGAGCACUGAUUGGACUAGGGGUCCUCAUCGGAUUACCGAAUUCAGUCAAACUCCGAAUGCCAAUGACUUAUCCUUAGGAGUCAGACUGCGAGUGAUAAGAUCCGUAGUCAAAAGGGAAACAGCCCAGACCGCCAGCUAAGGUCCCAAAGUGUGUAUUAAGUGGAAAAGGAUGUGGAGUUGCUUAGACAACUAGGAUGUUGGCUUAGAAGCAGCCACCAUUUAAAGAGUGCGUAAUAGCUCACUAGUCGAGUGACUCUGCGCCGAAAAUGUACCGGGGCUAAAUACACCACCGAAGCUGCGGAUUGAUACCAAUGGUAUCAGUGGUAGGGGAGCGUUCUAAGGACAGUGAAGUCAGACCGGAAGGACUGGUGGAGUGCUUGGAAGUGAGAAUGCCGGUAUGAGUAGCGAAAGACGGGUGAGAAUCCCGUCCACCGAAUGCCUAAGGUUUCCUGAGGAAGGCUCGUCCGCUCAGGGUUAGUCAGGACCUAAGCCGAGGCCGACAGGCGUAGGCGAUGGACAACAGGUUGAUAUUCCUGUACCACCUCUUUAUCGUUUGAGCAAUGGAGGGACGCAGAAGGAUAGAAGAAGCGUGCGAUUGGUUGUGCACGUCCAAGCAGUUAGGCUGAUAAGUAGGCAAAUCCGCUUAUCGUGAAGGCUGAGCUGUGAUGGGGAAGCUCCUUAUGGAGCGAAGUCUUUGAUUCCCCGCUGCCAAGAAAAGCUUCUAGCGAGAUAAAAGGUGCCUGUACCGCAAACCGACACAGGUAGGCGAGGAGAGAAUCCUAAGGUGUGCGAGAGAACUCUGGUUAAGGAACUCGGCAAAAUGACCCCGUAACUUCGGGAGAAGGGGUGCUUUCUUAACGGAAAGCCGCAGUGAAUAGGCCCAAGCGACUGUUUAGCAAAAACACAGCUCUCUGCGAAGCCGUAAGGCGAAGUAUAGGGGGUGACACCUGCCCGGUGCUGGAAGGUUAAGGAGAGGGGUUAGCGUAAGCGAAGCUCUGAACUGAAGCCCCAGUAAACGGCGGCCGUAACUAUAACGGUCCUAAGGUAGCGAAAUUCCUUGUCGGGUAAGUUCCGACCCGCACGAAAGGUGUAACGAUUUGGGCACUGUCUCAACCAGAGACUCGGUGAAAUUAUAGUACCUGUGAAGAUGCAGGUUACCCGCGACAGGACGGAAAGACCCCGUGGAGCUUUACUGUAGCCUGAUAUUGAAUUUUGGUACAGUUUGUACAGGAUAGGCGGGAGCCUUUGAAACCGGAGCGCUAGCUUCGGUGGAGGCGCUGGUGGGAUACCGCCCUGACUGUAUUGAAAUUCUAACCUACGGGUCUUAUCGACCCGGGAGACAGUGUCAGGUGGGCAGUUUGACUGGGGCGGUCGCCUCCUAAAGUGUAACGGAGGCGCCCAAAGGUUCCCUCAGAAUGGUUGGAAAUCAUUCGUAGAGUGCAAAGGCAUAAGGGAGCUUGACUGCGAGACCUACAAGUCGAGCAGGGACGAAAGUCGGGCUUAGUGAUCCGGUGGUUCCGCAUGGAAGGGCCAUCGCUCAACGGAUAAAAGCUACCCCGGGGAUAACAGGCUUAUCUCCCCCAAGAGUCCACAUCGACGGGGAGGUUUGGCACCUCGAUGUCGGCUCAUCGCAUCCUGGGGCUGUAGUCGGUCCCAAGGGUUGGGCUGUUCGCCCAUUAAAGCGGUACGCGAGCUGGGUUCAGAACGUCGUGAGACAGUUCGGUCCCUAUCCGUCGUGGGCGUAGGAAAUUUGAGAGGAGCUGUCCUUAGUACGAGAGGACCGGGAUGGACGCACCGCUGGUGUACCAGUUGUUCUGCCAAGGGCAUAGCUGGGUAGCUAUGUGCGGAAGGGAUAAGUGCUGAAAGCAUCUAAGCAUGAAGCCCCCCUCAAGAUGAGAUUUCCCAUAGCGUAAGCUAGUAAGAUCCCUGAAAGAUGAUCAGGUUGAUAGGUUCGAGGUGGAAGCAUGGUGACAUGUGGAGCUGACGAAUACUAAUAGAUCGAGGACUUAACCAU